rnacentral:SRP_RNA from 1 species
AAAGGGCAGUUGCGGGCAGUAUCCCCGCCAACCCGGUCAGAUCCGAAAGGAAGCAGCCGUAACGGGCCGUUAUUGGGUCGCAGCUGUCCACCGUU